GUGAAUUCUGCAGGCUUAAGCGCUCCAGCCAUUACAAAACGAAUGAAAGGUCUACCUGACGGUAUUUUACCUGCUUCUCAUUAUGCCCGUGGUUGCUACUUCACACUUUCAAACACUAAAUCCCCUUUCAAGCAUUUGAUUUAUCCUAUACCUGAGGUUGGCGGCCUUGGAGUGCAUGUUACCUUGGAUUUGAAUGACCAAGUCAAGUUUGGUCCUGAUGUCGAAUGGAUUAAAGGAAUUGAUGAUAUUCCAAGCUUCCUCAACAUGUUUGAUUACUCUGUACAUGAAGACCGUGCCAAUCAAUUCUACCCAGCAAUAAG
rnacentral:misc_RNA from 1 species